UACGGAGGGUGCGAGCGUUGUCCGGAUUUAUUGGGCGUAAAGAGCGUGUAGGCGGCCAGGUAGGUCUGCUGUGAAAACUCGAGGCUUAACCUCGAGCUGUCGGCGGAAACCAUCUGGCUAGAGUCCGGAAGAGGAGAAUGGAAUUCCCGGUGUAGCGGUGAAAUGCGCAGAUAUCGGGAGGAACACCGAUGGCGAAGGCAGGCUCUG
rnacentral:rRNA from 1 species